GCGGAUUUAGCUCAUCUGGUAGAGCAUCACCUUCCCAAGGUGAGGGUGGCGAGUUCGAGUCUCGUAAUCCGCUCCA
rnacentral:tRNA from 1 species